rnacentral:rRNA from 1 species
AUACGUAGGGGGCGAGCGUUAUCCGGAAUUACUGGGCGUAAAGCGUGCGCAGGCGGUCUGUAAAGUCUAGGGUUUAAGACUACGGCUUAACCGUAGUACGCCUUAGAAACUUAUGGGCUUGAGUGCAGGAGAGGAGAGCAGAAUUCCUAGUGUAGCGGUGAAAUGCGUAGAGAUUAGGAGGAAUACCAGUGGCGAAGGCGGCUCUCUGGACUGCAACUGACGCUCAGGCACGAAAGCGUGGGUAGCGAACAGGAUUAGAUACCCUGGUAGUCCACGCUGUAAACGAUGAGUGCUAGGUGUCGGAGGGUACCCCCUUCGGUGUCGGAGCAAACGCAUUAAGCACUCCGCCUGGGGAGUACGGUCGCAAGACUAAA